UAACACAUGCAAGUCGAACGGAAACGAUGGGAGCUUGCUCCCAGGCGUCGAGUGGCGGACGGGUGAGUAACGCGUAGGAAUCUGCCUGGUAGUUGGGGAUAACUCAGGGAAACUUGAGCUAAUACCGAAUACGCUCUACGGAGGAAAGCGGGGGAUCUUCGGACCUCGCGCUAUCAGAUGAGCCUGCGUGAGAUUAGCUAGUUGGUGGGGUAAAGGCCUACCAAGGCGACGAUCUCUAGCUGGUCUGAGAGGACGAUC
rnacentral:rRNA from 1 species